GGGAACAAAAUCCCCAAAACAUAAAGUUUUGGCCUAAACUUGCUGCUAUUUUUGAUCAAGAUUAUACAUGCAAGCAUCUGCACACCAGUGAGAAUGCCCUAACUUACACUUAAAAGGAGCAGGUAUCAGGCACGACCUAUCAGCCCAAAACACCUUGCUAUGCCACACCCACAUGGGUACUCAGCAGUAAUUGAUAUUAAGCAAUGAGUAAAAGCCACAUUAAGCUCGACUUAGUUAUGAUCACUAGGGCCGGUUAACCUCGUGCCAGCCACCGCGGUUAUACGAAGGACCCAAAACAGCAGACACCGGCGUAAAUUGUGACUAGAGACACCACCUUAGACAAGAAGAAAUAAACCACACCCUAACCGUAAAACAUAGGCUAAAUGAAGCCCCCCCCCCCUUUUUUAGGGGGUGUGCCCCCAA
rnacentral:rRNA from 1 species